AUAUAUUAACUGGCAGACUGAAUCCUUUGUUCCUUUUUUCUCACUGCAAGGAACUAUUUUGAAUGGCUUUCCCCAUUCCCUCUUCUUUCCUAUGUCCAUGUUGUCAGUGAUCCCGCUUAUGCAGCCAAAACAGCACCACACAUACAUGAGGGUUGGGUGGACAGUGGUGGAAUAGUAUCUUCUGUAACCCUGACCUGUCUUCUUCUCUCUUAUUUGCAAGUGAGGUUCAGUCUGAGUCCAGGCACCCCUGCAGGAGAGCUGACGCUGUAUUAAACUUUGUGUAUGGCAAAAAAGCCCAACUGUGUGACAGGCUUGUGAGUGACAACCAGGCUCUGAAAUGACAGCCUUUGCAAAUAGAGCCUGAAAUCUGGAGUGAGUUCACGUUUCAGCAAGUGGGGCACUCUGUAGAACAGCAAAUUGCUUUUCCGUUGUGUUCUUCUCAAAAUGGACUCUUUUGGGUCUUAAAGCAACCGCUGUGCCUGCACAGUUAACGACUUUUGCAAAAGAAGUUUCUCCAGAGGGUUGGGAGGCCACACAGAACAGCAUGGGAAAGAUGGAAUUUGUGCAAAUGGCCUCCAUCCUCCAGGGAACCUCUGCUGGAUCUCAAUCCUUCCGCAAGCAGAAUGUAAACGCUUCCCAUCCACAGAAGAGCAACUCUUGAAUCCAUGAGGAACAGCCUGCUUUAAAGCCCUUCACUUUGCCUAGUCCUGCUAAGAGAGUUUUAACAUUUAAUUUCUUGUCUGUUGACAAGGCAUGCCAUUUCUCUGAGCACAGUAAUAGAGUGGUAUGAGCUGCAUGUUAGAACUCUGGUGCUCCUGGGGUGCAUGAUUAAAUCACGUAGCCCAGCACAUCAGGGAACAAGUUAUUUAGGAGUUUCUUCUGAAGGGUGGCAGCAUCUCCUCUCUCUGAUCUGAUCUGCAGUUGCUGCUAUGCUUUCCUUUGGAGAGUGGGAAUAAUAAAAUAAUGUUUUGAUCAGGAGGUCACAUGAUAAAGCUUUCUAGUGAUUGAGAAACCCUUCCCUGACAAUAGAUUGAUGGCUACUAAGAGCAGUGCACAGAAAAUGAUUGUUUUGCAUUUGAGAUAUUUUUACAGCAAUGAACUCUCUCUCUCUGUGUGUGUGUGUGUGU